rnacentral:misc_RNA from 1 species
GUAGGUGAACCUGCGGAAGGAUCAUUAACACGUAUCCAAACGUUAAAACCCCCCUGUGAACCUUCAACACCAAUGCAUCCUGCACACGUUCACGGGUCAACCCCUAGUAAAUCAUUGUCUGAAUCAGAUUUUGAGUUAGGGGCCUCCCUUCAGAGGUGCGGUCGAGCGGUUUAGCAUUAGAUACGUCCCGGCGCUCCCAAGUGGCUCCAUUGAUCUGAAAGCGGUCAUUCGGGUUGCGUAAGAGUUGGCGCAGUAAACGAUCGUUGGGCCCACACAGCCCAGCGUCCGGGGCCUCUCCGCGGUUACAAUCGGCGGCAAGGGAUACGCACGGAGCUUAUCUCAAUGACGAGAGAGACGGCCGGCGCCGAAAGGUUGUAGGCAUUUAAAAAACGAACAACUGUUAACAAUGGAUAUCUUGGUUCUC